rnacentral:lncRNA from 1 species
UUACAGUUGAUCAUUCGGUGCAUGCAGUAACAUAAAGCAAGCUCAGAAGAUGAAGGCCUACCAAAUGUAAGUGCUACUGCAAUCCUUCAUUGUUAUGUUCACUCUUAUCAGGACAUGAUCCCAGAUAUAUGUAUCUAUCAGGCACUGCCACAACAACCUGAGGUCACUGACUAAUUCAUCCAGCAUGUGGAUGACAGUUCCAGGAGUAUGCACAGGCCUUGUCAUAACAUCUCACAGGCAGCUUUGAAGGCUGUUCCUUUUCCUUAUUAUCUUUUAAACAGGCUCUGCCCUUGCAGUUUACAAGGCCUGUGAGUUCUAGCUGUCCAGAUAAGCUGGAUUUUUGUGAGGAAGCUACCAUUCUUCUAUGUACCAAGGCACUUUCCACACCACCCCCUGGAAAUUAAAAGAGUCAACCUUCUUUCCCUAUUGAAAAAUCUGGUAUAGAAUAUUGAUUCUUAACCAUUUAUAAGUAUGUUCCCAUGUGACUUACAGGGGAAUCUCCAAAUCCCUAUCAACAUGCAGAACAAUAUUUUGUGGCAAUGUGGUCUAUGUUCAUAUCAACAAUUGCUUAAGUUCAGUAAAAACUCAACAUGAUGGAACUCCUACAUCAAUUAAAAUAUUUAAAAGGGUAUAAGGCUCCUCUCUGAAGAGGACAAAAUAUGCUUACUCUGGCCUAAACCAUUUAUUUCCAUUAACACCACCGAACAGCACACUCCUUGCAUACAGAAGAUUUCAGGCUCCAAGUAAAGCAUCUUUGCCAGUUAAAGGGCUGGCAAAGACCUCUGUGUGAAAUGUUGGACAGCUCCUGCCAGUCAGAGAAAAGAAUACUAGGCUAGAUGGACCUGUGGUCUCAUCAUAAGGUGUGCUUCCUAUGUUCGUAAGUCAAAAGUGGGGAGCCUGUGGCCCUCCAGAUAUUGAUUCCAACUCCAAUCAGCCCCAACUGGCCUGACCAAUAUGGUCAGUUGUAGUCUAAUUCCUCCCCAGAUGCUGCUGAACUCCCAACUCCCAUCAACCCAAGCUAGCAUGGCCAAAGGACAAGGAUGAUGGGAGCUGUAGUCCAGCAACACCUGGGGGUGGCGCAGGUUCAUUAAAGGGGCCUCCAUGCUGAAAGUGCUGCUGUUGGUGAGCACAAAGCAAAUAAGGGAAUGCAGAAUCUCUUCCCUGAGUGAUCUCCUUUGAGAAGAAUGGUGCUCUUGUGCAUUAAGGCAGCUGUGACUAAUGCAGAGGUUUGCCCUCAUGAAUAAUGCCUACAGGAAUACCUAGGAGCCCCAUCUGUCUUGACCCACCUGAACACAGCAGAAGAAAAGCUCCGCAGAAGAAGGGGGAGGCAGAAACACUGGGUGCCUAAGCUUGGCAGGAAGCUCCCUUAGCCUUGUGUUUACUUGCAAGUUCCCCAGGGGCAGCACUAUGGGCUGGGGGAGACAAUGGGAGCUGAUUGCUGCAAGGACUAAGGCAGCAGAACCAGAGAGGAUAAUAGCAGCUUUUUGGUCUGGAGGGCUCAGCCCUGCUUGGAAUAGAAUUAAGUAAUCGCUAUGAUUAGUGCCAUGGAGAGGAAUGGAAGACUGGUCGCCUGCUGAGAAUCCCGGCAGGCUUCUGGACAGAGCUGGAACUGUAGCAUCCCAGGGCAUCUCUCUACAUUGCCACCCGGUCUGUCUCCAGCUUGCCAUCCCCCUGCUGCCUUUCCUGUGCCAUAACAAUGUCAUCGGUAUAGAUCAGGGGUUUUUUUAAGACUAGAGGAAAUCAUAGAGGGGACGUUUAUCAAUAACAAUUAGCUACAGUAAUAAAAUUGAACCUCCAGAGUCAGGGGCAGUGUACCUCUCAGCUUGUAAACUUCCCAAAGCAUCUAACUACUGUUGGGGACAGAAUGUACUGGACGAGAUUUAGCCUUUCGCGGGUGGCACUGUGGGUUAAACCACAGAGCCUAGGACUUGCCAAUCAGAAGGUCGGCGGUUCGAAUCCCCGCGACAGGGUGAGCUCCCGUUGCUCGGUCCCUGCUCCUGCCAACCUAGUAGUUUGAAAGCACGUCAAAGUGCAAGUAGAUAAAUAGGUACCGCUCUGGCGGGAAGGUAAAUGGUGUUUCUGUGCGCUGCUUUGGUUUGCCAGAAGCAGCUUAGCCAUGCUGGCCACAUGACCCGGAAGCUGUACGCCGGCUCCCUCGGCCAAUAAAGCGAGAUGAGCGCCGCAACCCGAGAGUCGGUCACAACUGGACCUAAUGGUCAGGAGUCCCUUUACCUUUACCUUUACCAUAGUAGGGCUCUUCUCAUAUUAUUGUUGCUACAUCCCCACUGAUUGCAGCAAUCCUUGAGAAACCAGCUAAUUGAGGAAGUUCAUCCAUUAGCCAUUACCAGCAGCCCUGCUCACCCUCAAUUCUCCUUUUCCCCUGGGCUCAUUCUAAGAACUGACAGUCAAUAGCCAAGAGCCUUGUCUAAUCAAAUAUGUCUGCAGUAAUUUACUGCAAAGUGCAUCCCAUGCAAGUUUAUCAUUAUUCAUAAUUUUUAUGUGUGCUUAUGUAUGAUACUAGAUGCCUAGCAUCUACACAACCAGCCACUCCUGGCAUUUAGCCUCCAAAUUUUUCAAUUUCCUUUGCCUAAAAUGUGCCAGUCUCAUAGGUAUCAUCAGUGCGAUUCUAGUGCACUGUUAAAAUCUGAGGUCCUUCAAAUGUUGCUGAACUACAAGUCCCAUCAUCUCCAAUCACUUGCCACGCUGGCUAUGAAUAACGGGAGGUGGAGUCUAAUGACAUCAAGAGAACAGGUUCCCCAACACAGCUCUGAAUCUCUCUGAAUUGUCCAAUCUGUGCCUAGCAACCUGGUUUGUCAAGACUAAUAUUGAUCCAUGGCAGUUUUAGAGUCACUAGUAGAGCUUAACUUGUGUGAAACUCUACACUCCAUGCAAAUCAACUAAUUAAGUAUUUUAGUGCCCCCAUGAACAGGUUGUCUGGUGGAUUCCCCCAUUCCCUGCAGAGAUCUGUCUUCCUUUCAGAAAAAUGGCAGGGUACCAGACUGUGCCAGUGGAGUUUCCUGCAGGCUACAGCAUUAGCAUCUACAUAAUUCAUGGACUGCAGCCGUUUGAUCUCAGCUUUGAAGAGGCUCCAAACAAAUCUUACUAAUGUAGCAGCUGACCUGCCAAGGAACAAUUGGUG